GACGAACGCUGGCGGCGUGCCUAAUACAUGCAAGCAGAACGCUGAAGGAGGAGCUUGCUUCUCUGGAUGAGUUGCGAACGGGUGAGUAACGCGUAGGUAACCUGCCUGGUAGCGGGGGAUAACUAUUGGAAACGAUAGCUAAUACCGCAUAAGAGUAGAUGUUGCAUGACAUUUGCUUAAAAGGUGCAAUUGCAUCACUACCAGAUGGACCUGCGUUGUAUUAGCUAGUUGGUGGGGUAACGGCUCACCAAGGCGACGAUACAUAGCCGACCUGAGAGGGUGAUCGGCCACACUGGGACUGAGACACGGCCCAGACUCCUACGGGAGGCAGCAGUAGGGAAUCUUCGGCAAUGGACGGAAGUCUGACCGAGCAACGCCGCGUGAGUGAAGAAGGUUUUCGGAUCGUAAAGCUCUGUUGUAAGAGAAGAACGAGUGUGAGAGUGGAAAGUUCACACUGUGACGGUAUCUUACCAGAAAGGGACGGCUAACUACGUG
rnacentral:rRNA from 1 species